GUGAGUACCGCCGGCCCCGGGCCUCCCUCGCAGGUGCUCGAGGCAGUAACAGCUAGAGAGAGCGUGUCCGGUUUCAACCGCUGUGCCCUCCCCCUCAUCUUUGUUAGUAUCCCUGUUUCUAAAGUAUACAUGAGAACAAAAAGUACUGGUGUCUUAAUAAGGUAGCUCUAACUGUCAAGCCUCAGAUACAGCAUCUCCACAGGACUACCCCCUACCCUUCUGAUCCAGUCUCUCUCUUCUCCUUGUACAGGAAGAAAUUCGGGUUGCAGCGUCUUCUGUAAUGUAAAAUGCCAGUAACUGCUAAUCCAGCAUCUGAACAGUCUGGUUCUGCUUUCAUCCUGCUCUCUAAAGAGUGGCUCUGUUACUAGCUGGCUCUCCCCUACUUCUAGUGAUCUGAAGAAGAAAUACAACAUAACAGCCAUUCCUAAACUGGUGAUUGUGAAACAAACCGGAGAAGUCAUUACUGACAAAGGAAGAAAACAAAUCAGAGACAAAGGGCUAUCCUGUUUCCGAAACUGGCUUGAGGGUGCAGAUAUCUUUCAGAAUUUUUCUAGCUAAACAAAACUUUGCAGAUAGAAGCAAGACAAGGCAUCAUGGAAAAUUUUGUAGGGCUCUUGAGAGUGUUGCCUUGUUCAAAACAAAACUGUUGUUGCAUCCAGAUUUGACAGCCAGUGUUCAUGAUGGAGGGCCCAGGCCAAACAUUCAUGCAGUUGGUGGGCUAAGAAGAAAAGGGGGUUUAUGAUGACUAGCUUUUAUGUUCAGAUGAACGCUGCAGGCUCUCCUGUGACCCCUGAGCAUAUUGUUUGGGAAGAGACAAAGUAUGGUGGCAGACUUGCGGUGAUACUGCUUAUUUCAUUAGCACUCCCAGGGAAGCACUAUCAAUCUUGGAAAGAGUUGGUGCAGGUUUAA
rnacentral:lncRNA from 1 species